GCGGGGGCAUCAAGGCAUAGGGUGCCUCGAUGCGCGCGCGCUCUCGGAGGGUGGAGCCAUUCUGUGAAGGGGUCAGUGCCGCCUUCCAACCGCCGGCCGCCAUUGCGCUCCCCACAUUUCGUUACGGCCGGUCCAGAGAGACACGUGCACGACGUUUUCUUGUCCGAAAUGCCCGGGUGUUGCGUGCCCCGGUGACCGAACCACUCACGGAAUGACUUGAAAAUGUUCCGAUCUCCUAAAGAAUCGAAAAGACGACUCCUCUGGCUGGUUAAGGUCAAGCGCGACAAGUGGCAACCCACGGACCGGUCGUGUGUGUGCAGCGCGCAUUUUCAAGAAAUCGCCUUUGAGCAGAACCGGGCGGACGGCUGGAAAAAAUUGAAGCCCAAUGCUGUGCCAACGCUCUUCUCGUUCAGAGCGAUGCCUAAGCACAGGAAGCCGCCAAAAGAAAGGCUUUUACCACAAGGGGCACUUGCGGCAGAAGAAGGAACACAUACUCUGCAGCAUCGACCCAGUCCUUCUGAUACCUCACCGACAGACAUUUAAGACCAGCAUGUCAACGACGUGGCUGAUGGCUGAUGUGGCGACGAGGUGCUGAAAAAGAAAGUGCGCUGAAGAUGUUCAAGAAGAAAUUGAUGAUGGCGAAAUUCUUUUCAUUGAAGCACUGACUUCAGUUGAGUGCAGCAUUUUGCACCAUAUUGGUGGCUUUCUUGUGAAAGGAAAUUAAAAAAAAACGAAAAACUGCGAGCAGUGCAGGGCUGUAAUGCUGAGCUCGACGAGCCAUGAGCAUGCAUAUUUAACUGCACUAAAAGAGUAUGUUCAUGAUGGUAAGAACUUAUGUUAUCCGAGCGGUGAAGUUAUGAGCUUGCUCACAUCCUGCGAAGAGCACUUUAAAGGAAUCACGUCCUGGUCUGACAACCUGUUCCCCCUAAUGUCUCCUCUAAAGGCUGUGACAGAAUAUUUAAUCAUGGGGGCUCAGUGCAGUCUGGAGGCAUGCCAGUGACACAAGGAUUUUCUGGAACACAUAUUGAUAUCAAGUUAUGCAAGAGUAAGGCUAUGCAUUCACCUGCGCCAGCUCGAAGCUGCGAGAAUUAGUGGGCAUAGAAGCAAGACAUGCGCUGCAGUUAAUUUGCAGUGAGUUGUAGCGCUUGUUGUUUUUGAAAUCCUCAAAGUUCCCGACCAAAUAAACAA